GAGAAACUGGUUUCAUGGGCUGGGUUCAGGGACACCCCUACUGUUUGCAACCUUGAGACUUUGUGCCUCACAUCCCAGCUGCUCCAACUGUGGUUUAAAGGGGUCAUGGUUGUCCAGCCUCUGAGCCCAAGCUAAACCAUCAUAUCCCCUGUGACCUGCACAUACACAUCCAGAUGGGCGAUUCCUGCCUUAACUGAUGACAUUCCACCACAAAAGAAGUGAAAAUGGCCUGUUCCUGCCUUAACUGAUGACAUUACCUUGUGAAAUUCCUUCUCUUGGCUCAUCCUGGCUUAAAGCUCCCCCGCUGAGCACCUUGUGACCCCCCCCCCAACCCCUGCCCGCCACAGAACAAACCCCCUUUGACUGUAAUUUUCCUUUAUCUACCCAAAUCUUAUAAAAUGGCCCCACCCCUAUCUCCCUUCGCUGGCUCUCUUUUCGGACUCAGCCCACCUGCCCCCAGGUGAAAUAAACAGCCUUGUUGCUCGCACAAAGCCUGUUUCGUGGUCUCUUCACAUGGAUGCGAGUGAAAUUUUGGUGCCGUGACUCGGAUCGGGGGACCUCCCUUGGGAGAUCAAUCCCCCGUCCUGCUCUUUGCUCCGUGAGAAAGAUCCACCUACGACCUCUGGUCCUCAGACCGACCAGGCCAGGGAACAUCUCACCAAUUUUAAAUCAGUUUGUCUGCGUCUUGUCCUGCUACACCACCAGGUGAAGAAGGAAGUGUUUGCUUCUUCUUCCACCAUGAUUGUAAGUGUG
rnacentral:lncRNA from 10 species